UUUAAUUCCCUAAUGACAAUGACCCUAUUUAGACCAUGUAACAGAGAAAGACAGAAAGGGAGAGAGAAAUACUAAUCUACCAAGUGAUUCUCUCUUGUUUUUGUCCCGUUCCUCCGUCCCCUCCUCUUUCCCCCUAGGGAUACGAAAAGCUUGUUUGUACCUGUGUGCAGGUAUUUCCCCCCAGGAGUAAUGUGGGCGGAGUUGUGAGAGGUCAGGGGUCAUUGAGACCCAACAAAGAGUUUACUCAUUGGAGAGGGGUCUGGAACAGACAGGAAUGACCAUGAUGAGAAUAACGACCACAAUAACACAACUUGAAAGUCUCUCUGGUUUAAACAACAAACCAGGUGCAACAGGAACAGGCAGCUUUAAGUUUUACCUCUCUCCUCUAAUCAAUCACAAAUAACAUCCUUGAGGGACUUGCCUUUGAACUUCACCAGAGAAGGCUCCAGGACUUUAGUUCCCGGAGCCCUUCCCCUGACAGCGCCAGAAAGCUCUUCGAUCUGUGUCAUUCUCAGACAGAUGG